rnacentral:rRNA from 1 species
CCUACGGGCGGCAGCAGUGGGGAAUAUUGGACAAUGGGGGGAACCCUGAUCCAGCCAUGCCGCGUGUGUGAAGAAGGCCCUCGGGUUGUAAAGCACUUUCAGUGAGGAAGAACGCCUGGUGGUUAAUACCCAUCAGGAAAGACAUCACUCACAGAAGAAGCACCGGCUAACUCCGUGCCAGCAGCCGCGGUAAUACGGAGGGUGCGAGCGUUAAUCGGAAUUACUGGGCGUAAAGCGCGCGUAGGUGGCUUGAUAAGCCGGUUGUGAAAGCCCCGGGCUCAACCUGGGAACGGCAUCCGGAACUGUCAAGCUAGAGUGCAGGAGAGGAAGGUAGAAUUCCCGGUGUUGCGGUGAAAUGAGUAGAGAUCGGGAGGAAUACCAGUGGCGAAGGCGGCCUUCUGGACUGACACUGACACUGAGGUGCGAGAGCGUGGGUAGCAAACAGGAUUAGAUACACUAGUAGUA